rnacentral:rRNA from 1 species
UGCAAGUCGAACGGUGAACACGGAGCUUGCUCUGUGGGAUCAGUGGCGAACGGGUGAGUAACACGUGAGCAACCUGCCCCYGACUCUGGGAUAAGCGCUGGAAACGGCGUCUAAUACUGGAUACGAACCACGAAGGCAUCUUCAGUGGUUGGAAAGAAUUUCGGUUGGGGAUGGGCUCGCGGCCUAUCAGCUUGUUGGUGAGGUAAUGGCUCACCAAGGCGUCGACGGGUAGCCGGCCUGAGAGGGUGACCGGCCACACUGGGACUGAGACACGGCCCAGACUCCUACGGGAGGCAGCAGUGGGGAAUAUUGCACAAUGGGCGCAAGCCUGAUGCAGCAACGCCGCGUGAGGGAUGACGGCCUUCGGGUUGUAAACCUCUUUUAGCAGGGAAGAAGCGAAAGUGACGGUACCUGCAGAAAAAGCGCCGGCUAACUACGUGCCAGCCGCCGCGGGUAAUAC